rnacentral:rRNA from 1 species
UUUAAAGAGAGUUUGAUCCUGGCUCAGGACGAACGCUGGCGGCGUGCCUAAUACAUGCAAGUCGAACGAACGGAGGAAGAGCUUGCUCUUCCAAAGUUAGUGGCGGACGGGUGAGUAACACGUGGGCAACCUGCCUGUAAGUUGGGGAUAACUCCGGGAAACCGGGGCUAAUACCGAAUAAUAAGUGGUGGCGCAUGCCACGGCUUUGAAAGAUGGUUUCGGCUAUCGCUUACAGAUGGGCCCGCGGUGCAUUAGCUAGUUGGUAGGGUAAUGGCCUACCAAGGCAACGAUGCAUAGCCGACCUGAGAGGGUGAUCGGCCACACUGGGACUGAGACACGGCCCAGACUCCUACGGGAGGCAGCAGUAGGGAAUCUUCCGCAAUGGACGAAAGUCUGACGGAGCAACGCCGCGUGUAUGAAGAAGGUUUUCGGAUCGUAAAGUACUGUUGUUAGAGAAGAACAAGGAUAAGAGUAACUGCUUGUCCCUUGACGGUAUCUAACCAGAAAGCCACGGCUAACUACGUGCCAGCAGCCGCGGUAAUACGUAGGUGGCAAGCGUUGUCCGGAUUUAUUGGGCGUAAAGCGCGCGCAGGCGGU